CCAGCUGGCCUGGAGGCUGACAACAGGGGCCAAAGCCUAAGAGGAAGUGGCAGGACAGGAGGGGAGGGGACUCGUGGGGCCAGGUGGUUGAAGCCACACGGAGGCCCAGGGCAGGGCGGCCUCUCAAGGGCCCAGGGGGACGUGCUGCAGGGGCCCUCUCCCCUUCCCACCCACAGAGCACUCGGUGGCCGCGGGACACUCCCUCGGGGGCCUGGCCAGCUGCAGAUGCCCGUUACUCCACUGUUCCACCCUGUCCCUCAGGGGCACAGCUGGGCGGGAGUGUCCAGCAAGAGCAACUUCGUUUAGAAAACGACGGCAAGUGCGUGUUAUUCACCCAGAAUUUUAUAAAGGACAUCGACUUCCUCAAGGAACCCUGCUUGUUUGGACACGCGAAAUGGCCGCAGCCAACGGUCAGGGGACAAGUGUUAAUGGGUAAAUAAGAGACGCCUUUCCUCGGCUCCUCCCGGAAAGAGACGGUUUUCCAAAGCCCUGGCAGAUCACAUACUGCAAAUGUUUCACAGAGACGCCGCCAGACCCUGUUGUUUUUGACAACAGUGACGAGGAGAAACAAAGCGCUUGCAGACGGCUCCCUCCCGCGUGACUCAGCGUGGCAGGGGCUCUUCCCACCCUCACAGGCGGCACUUUCAUCUCCCAGAAGUCACUUCAGACACUGUCUUCACUGCCCACCCCGUGUUCAUCCAGGGGCUACGCUGGGGAGGGGGCUCCAAAGACCCCUCUAGGGACGAGGAUGCCCAAGACAAGGGGCGCUGGCUCUGGCACCCCCACUGGGUGACUGCUAAGCUCGCACCGGGGCUCUCGGCAGGAGAAACAGGGCAGGAACCCCGGGGAAAGGUCCCCUGAGCUGGAGUGGGGCCAGGCCUGCUCCUCUUCCGGGGUUCCUGACAAGGGGAGCCUGCGGAAGCCGCCACACAGCAGGGGGAGGUGGGAACACGGAAGGGGCCCCCUACCCCAGUUCUGUGUCCCCUGGGUCACUCCAGAAAGGACCUCAGGGAACGUGGGGCUCUCAGGAAGGAGUGCAGAGAGGGGCAGAGGCCCAGGGAUGCUGCCAGCUGCCGGGUCACAUUGGCUGCCCCGCUGGGAGGGCAGUUGGGCAAAGGAAGACUUGGAUUCUCCGUCUCUGAGAAGCUGGAUAUUAUCCGAACAAAACCAACACGACAUCUGUCACAGUUAUGGGCCACCAGGGUCUGCUGGAACCAGAGACCAGAGAGAGCCACCGCCCACCAAUGCCAAAACCAUCACUCUGCAGACAUGAGACUGGCUGGUAACCUGAGAAACCCUCUGCCUUCCUGUCCUUCCUCCUGCCCCCUCCCAAAUAUCUGGUACCAACUCAUACUAGAAAAUUAUUCAUUGUUUAUCUGAGAUUCAAAUUUAA